rfam:Tauraco erythrolophus contig13234, whole genome shotgun sequence.
UUAACGGCCUUUUUCAAGGCCAUGCACUUAAAAGUGGGAUAGAUAU